AUGAACGCUAGCGACAGGCUUAACACAUGCAAGUCGAGGGGCAGCGGGGGUAGCGAUACCCGCCGGCGACCGGCGCACGGGUGAGUAACGCGUAUGCAACUUGCCUAUCAGAGGGGGAUAACCCGGCGAAAGUCGGACUAAUACCGCAUGAAGCAGGGGCCCCGCAUGGGGAUAUUUGCUAAAGAUUCAUCGCUGAUAGAUAGGCAUGCGUUCCAUUAGGCAGUUGGCGGGGUAACGGCCCACCAAACCGACGAUGGAUAGGGGUUCUGAGAGGAAGGUCCCCCACAUUGGUACUGAGACACGGACCAAACUCCUACGGGAGGCAGCAGUGAGGAAUAUUGGUCAAUGGCCGAGAGGCUGAACCAGCCAAGUCGCGUGAGGGAUGAAGGUUCUAUGGAUCGUAAACCUCUUUUAUAAGGGAAUAAAGUGCGGGACGUGUCCCGUUUUGUAUGUACCUUAUGAAUAAGGAUCGGCUAACUCCGUGCCAGCAGCCGCGGUAAUACGGAGGAUCCGAGCGUUAUCCGGAUUUAUUGGGUUUAAAGGGUGCGUAGGCGGCCUUUUAAGUCAGCGGUGAAAGUCUGUGGCUCAACCAUAGAAUUGCCGUUGAAACUGGGGGGCUUGAGUAUGUUUGAGGCAGGCGGAAUGCGUGGUGUAGCGGUGAAAUGCAUAGAUAUCACGCAGAACCCCGAUUGCGAAGGCAGCCUGCCAAGCCAUUACUGACGCUGAUGCACGAAAGCGUGCGGAUCAAACAGGAUUAGAUACCCUGGUAGUCCACGCAGUAAACGAUGAUCACUAGCUGUUUGCGAUACACUGUAAGCGGCACAGCGAAAGCGUUAAGUGAUCCACCUGGGGAGUACGCCGGCAACGGUGAAAUCAAAAGGAAUUGACGGGGGCCCGCACAAGCGGAGGAACAUGUGGUUUAAUUCGAUGAUACGCGAGGAACCUUACCCGGGUUUGAACGCAUUCGGACCGAGGUGGAAACACCUUUUCUAGCAAUAACCGUUUGCGAGGUGCUGCAUGGUUGUCGUCAGCUCGUGCCGUGAGGUGUAGGCUUAAGUGCCAUAACGAGCGCAACCCUUGCCACUAGUUACUAACAGGUAAAGCUGAGGACUCUGGUGGGACUGCCAGCGUAAGGUGCGAGGAAGGCGGGGAUGACGUCAAAUCAGCACGGCCCUUACAUCCGGGGCGACACAUGUGUUACAAUGGCGUGGACAAAGGGAGGCCACCUGGCGACAGGGAGCGAAUCCCCAAACCACGUGUCAGUUCGGAUCGGAGUUUGCAACCCGACUCCGUGAAGCUGGAUUCGCUAGUAAUCGCGCAUCAGCCAUGGCGCGGUGAAUACGUUCCCGGGCCUUGUACACACCGCCCGUCAAGCCAUGGGAGCCGGGGGUACCUGAAGUCCGUAACCGAAAGGAUCGGCCUAGGG
rnacentral:rRNA from 1 species